CUUGUGAGUAUGCUAACGUUCUUCCAGGCUACUUUUUCUGUGAAUUUCCCGUUUUUCUUUCACCUCACAUUUGGUCCGAAACACUAAUAGAAUGUGUGGGAAUGUAUAAAGGUGUAGGUUCGAUGGCGUUUGGUGACGUUUUUGAGUGUUCGGUGCUCAACUUCAAGCUAGUUCAUGCUAGCAAGUCAUAGCUAAUAAUUCAUAGCUAGCUAAUUCAUGCUGUUAUCACCCAAAGACGUCAAUCAAAGACGUUAUAUCUGGAAAACUUAUACUGAUGGAUGUCACAGGUGGACCUAAUCACUCCAAUAUGAAGUCACAUUCAUCCACCAGUGUGGGCAACCCUGAAGGCAAAGUGGGUGAAAUGUCUUGCCCAGGGACACGACAACAGUGACUGAGUGGAGGGAGCGACGAUCGAACCGGCAACCUUUCGGGUUCUGGAUGACUUGCUCUACACCACCUGAGCCACUGCCACACCCCAGCCUUCAAACCACCAGGGUCUCCAAGAAGUCUGAAAAAUCAUCUGCGGUUGUAGGCAACCUCCUGAUCCUCACGACUCUGCAUGCGCUUUAAAGCCUGCGGACAAACUCCUGAGCCUCCCUGUCGCCGACGCGAGCGUCCAGCAGCCCCAUGAUGGGUUUCUCUGGAAACGUACCGCUGGGUUUGCUGCGAGACAGAUGGAGGAUGAAGGGCUGCACGCUCUUUCCGGCCGGCGUGGCGUUGGGCCUCCCCGGCCAACAGAAGUCGCUGAGGGGGGCCACGGCCUCGCCGGCGAAGUCGUUGGUGGAGAGCCAGUCGUAGUCCAUCACAGUGAAGGUCAAACAGGCGAAUCUGUGUCGGUACUGCUCGGGACUCACAUGGCUGCAGAAAGGGUUGACAUCACAGCUAUCGGGCUAUGCUAGGCAGGGAGCGUUGACCUUUACGUGGCGGAAGCACGACGAAGGAAACGGAGUCGUUGAAGGACUAACCUAGCACACACGCUACGUGGGAGGCAUGACCUUUCAAAUGAGAAGAACUCACAAGUAGAAGAGCUCGUCAAAGACGGGGUGGAGCGUCUUCAGUUUCACUUGCGUGCGUUGGCUCUUGGCCAGCGGGAAGAGGUGGUGUGGACACAGUUCCACGAUCACAAAGGGGUCGCUCAGGCCUAACAGGGACGAUUAUCCAAUUGCUACAUUUACCGCUGUCGAAUUAGCUGUAUGCAUUUACCGUUAGCAUCCAGCGCCAUGAUGUCGGCGGCGUGCAGGAUCUCCACCGUUAACCUCUGCUCGGGAGCGUCGUAGUAGCACUUGACGCUGAUGCGACCGAAGCGUGUGUGUUUGAGGGUUUUCUGCAAAGACAGAGUUAGCGGCUAGUCGUGAUAAAGAAGAAGAUAAUCGAUCGAUGCUCAUGGAGGCGGAAUCGCACCUGCAGGGAAAUCUUCUCCAGGUAGUAUUGUUCGAUCAGCUCAAAGGAGGAACAUUUGUUCAGCUUCAGCUCCUCCUCCAGGGCCUGAAGCGGCGUGAGAACAAAAGAAAGACAUAAAUGUUGGAUUUCUUACUUCCAGUACCGGUUAUGAUAACAAAUAUUAUAAUAAUUAAUAAUAACAAAGCAUCAAAAUAACAGUAAAAUAAUUCAUUCAUUCAUUUUCUACCGCUUUCCCUUACAGGGGUCGCGGAGGUGCUGGAGCCUAUCCCAGCUGUCUUUGGGCGAAAGGCGGGGGUACACCCUGGACCGGUCGCCAGCCAAUCACAGGGCACAUAUAAACAAACAACCAUUCACACUCAUAUUCAUACCUAUGGACAAUUUGGAGUCGCUAAUUAACCUAGCAUGUUUAUGGAAUGUGGGAGGAAACCGGAGUACCCGGAAAAAAACCCACGCAUGCACAGGGAGAACAUGCAAACUCCACGCAGAAAUGCCCGUGGGUGGAAUUGAACCCUGGUCUCCUAGCUGUGAGGUCUGCGCGCUAACAAAGACAUCGCGCUAACCAUCUUUAUUGUUAUUAGAGCCCUGUAGAUAUGAAAUAAUUCUUUGUUUACACCACAUUGCUCAACGGUAAUGCACAGGGGGAGGGGGGUCAGAACCAUUAGCAUCUAUUAGCAAGUGAGUGAGCUAACUUGUUAGCUUCCAAUUUAUAUACUGUAUUCUAAACUUCAGAAAGGGUUUAAAAUAAAGUGGGGAAUGACAAAGAGGGCAAAAAUGUACCACUUCCACACAAAAUGGGAGGAGAACUUCUUUUCUUUUCACUCGGACAAGAGUAUUUCAAUACUUUUUUGACGAAUAAUACACCCCAGUCAACUAUUUAUUUAUUUUUAAUAAUAUAUAUAUUAAUAUAUUUAUCAUUUGUAAAAAAUUUAAUUAAUUAAUUGAAUUAAUUUUUUAUUUUUUUAUAAUAACUAAUUAUUUAAUUUUAGAAAAACUGUGAUAGAGCGAGAGAUCAAUAAUCCAGACACACUAUUACGAGGGAGGACUGAUAAUUUAAUAUUAUAAUUGAAUUGUAGAGUAGUUGAAUGCGUAUAAACUAAUUAAUGUAUGAUCAUUUUUGCAUAAUUAAUGCACUUGCAUUAGUUAUUACGAUUUUAGAUGACAUUUUUGUACUCAUUUAUUGUACCAUAGAGCCUAAAAAAUGAAAUUUUGAGAUGUUUUUCUUGCAUCCACGAUAGCAUCCCUGCACGCUAUGAAUAUGAUAUGAUAUGAAUAUGACGCAUGAUGCAUACAUUAGCUGUCUGCACUAAAAAAAAGAUGCAUGUUACAUAACCUUGUAGUCUCCGCUCUUCAUGUCUUCCAGGGAUAAACCGUUUCCUUUGUCGUGGAGGAACUGCAACAAAGUCUACAGAAAAACAUAAACAGACAAAAAAAUCAUAUUAAGAUAUUAAUUUCAUGUUCAUAAUUCAUCUUGACUUGAGUUGAUUUGGUUUUGUGUCGGUAUAAGCUCACAUUUUUUUUUCAUUUUGACGUAGCGUAUGAAGACAAAUCAAUAGGGAGGUGGAAUCAUGUGAGAAUAUUAUUGAUCAUAACUCCACUUAAAGACUUAAUUGGGAACU